GCUUAUUUAUCUGAAUUGUUUGUUAAGGAAUUUAUUUGUUCUAUGAUGGAAUGUCUACCUUAUGUUAGUAGAACUUUUAGAACUUCAUGUUAUAUCUAAAACUAACUUAGGUAAUAGAGAUAGUAUAAUGCUGUAUAACAAAAGAUUGGGAUUAAUCCUUAUGCUCUUAGAAGAUUAUUGAAUAUCUGUAAUUCUACUUGCUACCUGUUACACUUGUGUUAAUUGGUUUAAGUAACGAGUACUGAAUCUUCUGAAUUGCAUAACUGCCUGUCUUGCUCUUGUCUUAUCUUUGUCUGUUUGCCAUGUGUACUCAACAUCAUGUCUGCUUAUUUUCUUGUCAUGAAUGCAUGUCCGUGUACUUGCAUUGAUUUUAGAAAAGCAUGUUUGAGAAUCAAAUUAGGGCAAUGUCUAAAUAAGAAUUAGCAUGUUAAGGUUGAUUCCGUUGUUACCACUGUUAAAGAAAAAUCUCUAAUCCAUCCGGACCCAGUUAUGAUUGGGGACCAUAGAACUCU
rnacentral:lncRNA from 1 species